rnacentral:ncRNA from 17 species
UUGUACCGAGGAGCGCUGCAACGGUCUAUCUCGUGAGGCUCGGACAAAUGAACAACCCAACAACGGCGCUCUUUCACU